rnacentral:rRNA from 1 species
UACGUAGGGGGCAAGCGUUGUCCGGAUUUAUUGGGCGUAAAGAGCGUGUAGGCGGCCUGAAAGGUCAGCUGUGAAAACUCGAGGCUCAACCUCGAGACGUCGGUUGAAACCAUCUGGCUAGAGUCCGGAAGAGGAGAGUGGAAUUCCCGGUGUAGCGGUGAACUGCGCAGAUAUCGGGAAGAACACCCGUGGCGAAGGCGGCUCUCUGGGACGGUACUGACGCUGAGACGCGAAAGCGUGGGGAGCGAACAGG